GGGGGGGGGGGGGGGGGGGCGGGGCGCGGGCAGGGCGGGCGGAGGGGCCCGGCGGGGGGGGGGUGCCCGGGUGGCGAACGGGUGAGUAACACGUGAGUAACCUGCCCGUGACUUUGGGAUAACUUCAGGAAAGUGGGGCUAAUACCGGAUAGGCGCUCCUGCUGCAUGGUGGGGGUUGGAAAGGUUCGGCGGUUGGGGCUGGACUCGCGGCUUAUCAGCUUGUUGGUGGGGUAGUGGCCUACCAAGGCUUUGACGGGUAGCCGGCCUGAGAGGGUGACCGGCCACAUUGGGACUGAGAUACGGCCCAGACUCCUACGGGAGGCAGCAGUGGGGAAUAUUGCACAAUGGGCGGAAGCCUGAUGCAGCAACGCCGCGUGCGGGAUGACGGCCUUCGGGUUGUAAACCGCUUUCGCCUGUGACGAAGCGUGAGUGACGGUAAUGGGUAAAGAAGCACCGGCUAACUACGUG
rnacentral:rRNA from 1 species